CUGAAAAGGAAAAAAAAGGAAAGGGCAGAAAUGUCUACAAGUAUGCAUCUUGUGAGUAAGGUUUAUCAUCUAAAAACAUGCAUUUCCCAUGCAAAAGCAAAUAAAAGUUGUUGCUAAUCAUAACUAGAUCAGCGGGUCAGUGCCUGGAAAUAAACUAGAUUCUUAUUGCCAUAAGGUAAAGAUUUUUUACCUUUUUUUUUCACACGCUGACACAGGAAUAUUUAAAAUUUACUAUUCUAGUUCGAACUUGCUGAUGCAAAUAAAGUGGAGUCCCUUUAAAUGUGUCAAUUUAUUUCUAGACUCUUGAAAACUGAUUGGGAAUUGAUUGAUUGUUUAGUUCUAAUUCAUUAGACUUUUAAAGCGUUAAAAAGCUUUAAAAUGUCAGGCACCACGAAUUUUAUGUAAAUUUAGAUUUAGAAUUAAGAAUUAAAUAGAUCCCAUUUUCAAUAAACGUAUUCUAUAACAAACUUUUUUUUCCUUCAGCUGUAUGUCAAAAUAAUACACGGCCAAAUAAAAGUCUUUGGAAAAGAGUUAUUUGUAAGGGCUUCAAUAUUGCAAUACUAUGCAAGAUGAGGAUAUGCUUUCUAGUAUGCUUGUAACAAUUACUGAUAAUUACCCAUGACUUUUUUUGUCAAAUUAAACACAUAGUCUGCCAGUGUGUUAGAAUGUCCAUAUUUGCAUGUGUACUGUGUGCCACGUUCAAAUGCUUAACCCUCUGCAUCCUGCUAAGCAUUGUGAUGCUUGUAAACAACUACAUAUCGAGAAAAGUAUUUGCCUGGAAAAAGGUAAAGAGAUUCAGACCAACAUCUACAUCACAAUACAGGAGCAUUGUAACCACUGCAUUAGUUGCAACUGUCUUGAACUGUGGCAAGAGUACAAGGCUACAGGAAAUAAUGAAGCCUGUUCAGUGUGCCCAACACCUUCUGGGUACCUGGUAAACUAUGAAUAGUUAACAUGCCCGAAAUCCAAAUUGUGAAGUGGAAUCGAGUAAAGACAUGCUCUACCCACGCUAUAUGUCAAGAUAAAAUUAUCAAGAAGCCAUUGAAUGAGGAAAAAAACUCAUUGAUUGACAUAUCAGACUGUUAUGAUGUUAUGAUGGGAAUAGGCACCUCUUUGCAUUAUAGGUGUGUGCAUAGAUUUUCUAACAGGUCUUGUCAACAACUUCCAACAACUUAGCUGAGAGCAUGAAUGCAAUUGACCUUGCGGUCUGGAAACAACAGCAUGAUUGCUGUAGUAAUCAUCAUUAUUCCAGCAAAUCUGUGGAACAGAACAGUGACGUAAUUUUGUGGAAUCGUUCUGUGGCGAAAUACAAUUUCAGAUAUGUCGAUGCUGAGUGAUGAAACUUUUAAAGCUGUGGUUGAGUUUAACUUGACUGCAUCAAUCAUGCCCAUAAAUGUAUUGGGACAGCCCUUUAAAAACUUGCCAAAGAAAGCCAUCUCAUGGCAAAGUUGUUGGCAGGUUAACAGAAACAAAAAAUGUGACAGUCUACAAAAUUUUUAUCUUGGUGCUAUAGUGGACAAUGUUUCAGAUGUUUCCAAAAUGAGGAAUGCUGUUUGGGCGGGAGUAUACCACUCCAUAUCCAGAUACUGAACACCAUCAUUGACAGUGUCCUCCGAAAAAAUGGUUAGUGCUGGUACGAACAGGCCAUUCACCCGUUUUCACAGUAUUUUAUAUUUGAUAUGAAUAAGUUGGCUGAAAGGGUAAAGAUAUUUUCACAUUCUACUUUUCUGUUGGUGGCAAAAUAAAAAAAAUGUGAAGGGAACAUUUGUCUUGUUUGCCAUCGAUCUAAAUUCAAUCUACUAGAUCAGUAAUACACAAACUAAGGCCUGCAGGUCCUAUCCAGCUAGCAUUUUAUAAUAUACUAUUAAGCUAUUUUUUAAAAUCUGUAAUAGCUGUUAUUCUCUAAUAUAAAUUACAUAUUUCUGCUAUCAGAUUUCCUAUUUUUUCUUAGAACUCCUAAAAUCUUCUAAAAUCUUGCCUAUUCUCCUAAAAAUUUUACCCAAUAUUUAAAAAAAUAAAAUAAUUUUGCUUAUUUCUCGCUAAAAAUGUGAAAAAGAAGUAGAGUGUCUAGGCAUUCUUAUUGCAUGAUUGGCUGGCUGUGUUAAUAAUGAGUUCACCAGUUACUUUCACCCAUGUGUUUAAGCGUGACCUCAUGAUUGAAGAAGUCUUUAGGUCAAGCCGGCAUUUCAUCUGACAUUAUAUUAUUUUAGCUAGUAUCAAGAUCUAAGUUAGAUCUUAUCUUCUUAUCUUAGAAAGUACAGAUGUUACUUUAAAAAAGAUGAAUAUGUCCUACGUGUUUCCCUGGGUCAAUCUAGUCAUGCAUGUUAAUCAAUAACUUAAAUUUUGUCAAAUAUAAUAAUCUUUAUUAUCCAUAAGG
rnacentral:sRNA from 1 species